rnacentral:rRNA from 1 species
UACGAAGGGGGCUAGCGUUGCUCGGAAUCACUGGGCGUAAAGCGCACGUAGGCGGAUUGUUAAGUCAGGGGUGAAAUCCUGGAGCUCAACUCCAGAACUGCCUUUGAUACUGGCGAUCUCGAGUCCGGGAGAGGUGAGUGGAACUGCGAGUGUAGAGGUGAAAUUCGUAGAUAUUCGCAAGAACACCAGUGGCGAAGGCGCUCACUGGCCCGGUACUGACGCUGAGGUGCGAAAGCGUGGGGAGCAACAGG